AAUAAAUACAGUUUUACAUUGUUCAUAUCCAAUGUUUAACCGUUCGUUUUAUUUAAAGUUAUUUUAUGAUUAGUAUUUUAUUAUUAUCAGAUGAUAGAAUAUGAAUAGCACUUUAUGUGAUCGGCUAAUUUAUUUUAAAAUUUUUCAAAUAAGACGGGCACUCAAACAUUGGAUUCGGAUACCCACAGCUGCAUUAUUU
rfam:Oryza glumipatula chromosome 7, whole genome shotgun sequence.